CUUGCUCCCAGCAAGGUGCUGAAGCCUGCUUCCAGUUUCUGGCAAUCGGCAUCUUUGCUGCUACUAGAAUAUGUUUAACAAUCCUUGAGGCAGGGCCAAAAAUAUUUUGAAUAUUUAAUUGUAAUAAAAGUGAUCUAGGUUCAAAGAUAAACUUUUUAGAGAAUAAAGUUAGAAUUUUUGUAUGAAUAAUUUUCCAAAAUAAUUGAAUGGGUUGACAUUCCCACCAUAUUUGGAGAAAAUCUUCCCUGUAUGUUAAACAUCU